GAUGAACGCUGGCGGCGUGCUUAACACAUGCAAGUCGAGCGGUCAGAGCGGGACUUGCCCUGCUUGACGAGUGGGGCACGGGGGUGUAACACAUGAGGAUACCGCCCCUAUCAGUGGGGUAAGCGCUGGAAACGCCGGCGAUAACAGGAGACGAGAUGCGAAGGCGUCUGGAGCAGCUGUAAAGGACGUCGGUGUGGGCUGGGCUCGAGGCCUAUCAGCUUGUUGGGCAAGUAACGGAGGACCAAGGCGUCGACGGGUAGCCGGCCUGGGAGAGUGACCGGCGACACUGGGACUGAGACACGGCGCAGACUCCAACGGGCGGCAGCGGGGGGAAAUAUUGCACAACGGGCGAACGCCUGAUACAGCAACCCCGCGUGCGGGAAGCCGGCCUUCUGGUUGUAAACCACUUUGAGCGGGGAAGAAGCGAUAGUGACGGUACCUGCAGAAAAAGCGCCGGCUAACUACGUG
rnacentral:rRNA from 1 species